rnacentral:lncRNA from 1 species
UGUGUUUCCGGUGGCUCUACACGUUGCAACACAGGACAACGAGAUAGCGGACGAGCUAAGUCGCCGAACUUGGCAGACGCACGAGUGGCAAUUGGACGACACUGUUUUCAGCGAUCUUUGUCACCGUUGGGGUCAGCCCAUCAUGGAUGUUUUUGCGACCCAACUCAAUGCAAAGUGCCUCCUCUAUGCCUCCAGAGCCGGAAAGGGCAGGGGGUCAUCAGGGGAUGCGUUUAUGAUACCUUGGAAUGUGGGACUCGUAUACCUGUUUCCUCCGUUCCCUCUAAUCCAAAGGACACUAAUCAAGCUCAGACACGAGAGGAUAGAAGCCAUCCUCAUAGCGCCCUUCUGGCCUCGUCAACCGUGGUUUCCCACGUUGAUGAAGUUGGCCACAGAGUUUCUUCCGCUGCCGCUUUCUCCUGGACUUCUAACACAGGAUGCGGGCAAGAUCCUCCACCCAGAAAUACACACACUGCAUUUGACUGCGUGGAAAAUCUCCCGCAAAUUCAGGAGGUCUUAAAUUUUGCAAGGAAACCUUCUACAACCAGGCUCUAUACUUACAAGUGGCAAGGUUUUUUAAAGUUCACAGCUGCCAGGGGACUCGUUCCGUCCCCAGUGUCUGUGUCUACUGUAUUGCAGUUCCUUCGUUACCUUUUUGACUUCAACCUUUCUGUGUCUACGUUAAAGGUUUAUUUGGCUGCGAUUGUUGUUUUUCAGCCUGCAGGUUCACCGUCAUCAAAGCUUUUUUCGCACCCGACUGUUAAAGCAUUUUUAAAGGGACUUACAAACAUGCGGCCACCUGUCAAACCACCGGUACCUCAAUGGUCAUUACACCUGGUCUUACAGGCCUUGACGCGUCCUCCAUUUGAACCCAUGGCUACUUGUGAUUUAAAGUUUUUAUCCCUCAAAUCCCUGUUUCUCGUGGCCAUCACUUCAGCUCGUAGGGCUGGUGAGCUGGCUGCGUUAAGAGCAGACCAGCCUUUUUUGCAAUUUUUUAAAGAAAAAGUGGUCCUUCAUCCUGAUCUCUCCUUUCUUCCCAAAGUGGUCUCGGAUUUCCAUCUAAAUCAACCUCUUGUGUUACCCACCUUGUUUGCGGACCCUACUAACAACACUGAACGCAUGCUCCAUUCUUUGGAUGUAAAGAGGGCUCUCUCCUUUUAUGUAUCCAGGACAAAAGAGUUCCGCU